rnacentral:rRNA from 1 species
GGCAUGCUUAACACAUGCAAGUCGAACGGUAACAGGACGCUGUGAUCCCUUCGGGGUGAACUUGUCGCUGACGAGUGGCGGACGGGUGAGUAACGCGUGGGAAUCUACCUUAUAGUGGGGGACAACUCGGGGGAAACUCGGGCUAAUACCGCAUGAUCUCUACGGAGCAAAGAGGGCCUCUAUACUAUGCUCUCGCUAUAAGAUGAGCCUGCGUCGGAUUAGCUUGUUGGUGGGGUAAUGGCCUACCAAGGCGACGAUCCGUAGCUGGUCUGAGAGGAUGAUCAGCCACACUGGGACUGAGACACGGCCCAGACUCCUACGGGAGGCAGCAGUGGGGAAUAUUGGACAAUGGGCGCAAGCCUGAUCCAGCAAUGCCGCGUGUGUGAAGAAGGCCUUCGGGUUGUAAAGCACUUUCAGUAGGGAAGAAAAACUAAGUCCAAUAAACUUAGUAUUGACGUUACCUACAGAAGAAGUACUGGCUAACUCUGUG